CCUACGGGUGGCAGCAGUGAGGAAUAUUGGUCAAUGGGCUUACGCCUGAACCAGCCAAGUCGCGUGAGGGAAGACUGCCCUAUGGGUUGUAAACCUCUUUUGUCAGGGAGCAACGCCGGCUACGUGUAGCCGGACUGAGAGUACCUGAAGAAAAAGCAUCGGCUAACUCCGUGCCAGCAGCCGCGGUAAUACGUAGGGGGCAAGCGUUGUUCGGAAUGACUGGGCGUAAAGGGUGUGUAGGUGGUUUGAUAAGUUAGAUGUGUAAUACCCAGGGCUUAACUCGGGUGCUGCAUCUAAAACUGUUAGACUUGAGUACUGGAGAGGAUAGUGGAAUUCCUAGUGUAGCGGUGGAAUGCGUAGAUAUUAGGAGGAACAUCAGUGGCGAAGGCGACUAUCUGGACAGCAACUGACACUGAGGCACGAAAGCGUGGGGAGCAAACAGGAUUAGAUACCCGUGUAGUC
rnacentral:rRNA from 1 species